AGGUCAACCUGCAGAUAUGGUUUCCUAUGUACAAGAUACAGUAUUAAUGAAAAAAAUCAAAAGAUAAAAAGUGAGGAAAUUGGAGUGUUGUACAUUUUCUGUUUUUUUGUUGUA
rnacentral:ribozyme from 1 species